ensembl:snRNA
GUGUUUUAUGAAAGGAGAGGUGGUCAGCAUUCCCCUUGGCAAGGAUGGAAGAGGCCCUUGGGCUUGAAAACAGGUUAAGGCCUUGUUACCUACUUCCUGGCCUCUAACCUGGCAUCUAACCAUGGUUUUCA